GGGGAACCCCUAGGCCAGAAAUGCUGUGCAGCUUGCCCCGCACCCGCCCCUCCUCACUGUCACUCCAUCCUCAACCCAGGCCGCCCUGGCACUCAGCCCCACCGCGCACCAUCCUGAAGUUCACCGAUCCUACAACGGUCGCUGAGACUGGGGUGCAACUACCUUACUGAUGGGGAAUCAGACCAGAGGGUGUCCUCCCAGGUCACACGCUGAAGAGCUGUAACUCAUCUCACCCUACAUGCCGCCUCCAAGUGGCUGGCUGUGCGGCUCCACCCCCACCACAGUGUGUGAGCUGUUGUGCAGGUGCUGACAGAGCAAUACAACUAAACAAGAAACAAAACAAAAGCAUACAAUGAUCCCUACAACAACCACACAAACAACUACAAAACAGAAGAGAAUUA